rnacentral:rRNA from 1 species
UACGGAGGGGGCUAGCGUUGUUCGGAUUCAUUGGGCGUAAAGAGCUCGUAGGCGGCUUGGCAAGUCGGGUGUGAAACCUCCAGGCUCAACCUGGAGACGCCACCCGAUACUGCCAUGGCUAGAGUCCGGUAGGGGACCACGGAAUUCCUGGUGUAGCGGUGAAAUGCGCAGAUAUCAGGAGGAACACCGGUGGCGAAGGCGGUGGUCUGGGCCGGAACUGACGCUGAGGAGCGAAAGCGUGGGGAGCGAACAGG